CCACAAACUCAAUCUUCCUAUCAGGUGGCAUACCUGGCAACUCAGCUGGAAACACAUCACUAAACUCCCAUACCACCGAAAUGUCAUCGAUCCUAGAGAUAUCUCCAUCCCUCACAGUAAUACUAGCCAAGAAGGCUACACAACCUCUCCUGAUCAACUGCCUAGCUCGCGAAGAGCUAAUAGUCAUCGCAAAUAGCGAACCCUGCCAUCCUCUGUACAUUACCUCCUCCUACCCCGGUUCCCGAAAGAUCAUCGUUCGAUUCUUGCAAUCAAUA
rnacentral:lncRNA from 1 species